AUGCCAUCCGAGGACAACAAGAGGAAAGACCCCGGGAAGUUGGCCAAAAAAGACAAAAACCCAGUGAACAAAUCCAGGGGCAAAGCCAAAAAGGAGUGGUCCAAAGGCAAAAUUUGGGAUAAGCUCAAUAACCAAGUCUUGUUUGACAAUGCUACUGUAAGGAAGCUUUGUAUGACAAACUCUGUAAGGAAGUUUCCAGCUAUAGGUUUAUAACCCCAGCUGUGGUCUCUCAGAGAUUGGAGAUUCGAGGCUCCCUGGCCAGGGCAGCCCUACAGGAGCUCCUUGGCAAAGGACUUAUCAAACUGGUUUCAAAACACAGAGCUCGAGUCAUUUACACCAGAAAUACCAAAAGUGGAGAUGCCACAACUGCUGGUGAAGAUGCAUGAACAG
rnacentral:lncRNA from 1 species